AUGCAGUUUCUAUAGGUUCUGAGAGAAAAGUCUAAAUUUUCUGGAUCCAAACAAGAAAAUAUCAAUCAUGAGUUGGAAGGAACCCUACUGUUCUUCAGUCUGGGGCACUCAGCAGCGAAGAAGCGAAGAAACUUUUUUAUUUUGCUCUACCAAGACUGGUUUUGUGGCACAGUUUGAAGCAAAAGGACAUUGGGCAAUGCUGUUCAGAGGUGUACAAAUGUCCUCCUUUCUGAAACCAGGCUUCAGCUACCUACAUUUAAAAAGGUAUGCAACAUGACAUCUGGUAAGCUCGUUUUUCUCAACCACUUUUUGU
rnacentral:lncRNA from 1 species